UUUAAUACAUGCAAGUCGAGCGAGAAAGUUUCUUCGGAAAUGAGUAAAGCGGCGAACGGGUGAGUAACGCGUAGGAAUCUACCAUUCAGCGGGGGAUAGCUCGAGGAAACUCGAAUUAAUACCGCAUACACCCUACGGGGGAAAGAAGGCCUCUCCUUGGAAGCUUUCACUGUUUGAUGAGCCUGCGUGAGAUUAGUUUGUUGGUGAGGUAAUGGCUCACCAAGACUACGAUCUCUAGCUGGUCUGAGAGGACGAUCAGCCACACUGGGACUGAGACACGGCCCAGACUCCUACGGGAGGCAGCAGUAGAGAAUAUUGGACAAUGGGGGCAACCCUGAUCCAGGCAUGCCGCGUGUGUGAAGAAGGCCUUAGGGUUGUAAAGCACUUUAGGUAAGGAAGAAAAGUUAAUAGUUAAUACCUGUUGACCGUGACAUUACUUACAGAAUAAGGACCGG
rnacentral:rRNA from 1 species